rnacentral:lncRNA from 1 species
AUGCUGCAUUUAGAGAUGGGGAGCUCAGCUGUGCUUGACCCUCAGGGGGGCACACUCGGAAAACGUGUGCUGACUGAGCAAGGCAGGUGCUCCCCACCCCGCGCCCCUGCUUCUGCAGCCCACAGUAAAGGUGACAAGCCCACGUGCUGCGUCUCCCCCCAAAGCUGCCUUAUCACUCCAGGAACCCCAAAUGCAUGCAUCUCCCCCAGCCCAGGCAGGAGCUGCCUUAUUACUCCAGGAACCCCAAAUGCAUGCGUCUCCCCCAGCCCAGGCAGGAGCUGCCUUAUCACUCCAGGAACCCCAAAUGCAUGCGUCUCCCCAGCCCAGGCAGGAGCUGCCUUAUCACUCCAGGAACCCCAAAUGCAUGUGUCUUCCCCCAGCCCAGGCAGGAGCUGCCUUAUUACUCCAGGAACCCCAAAUGCAUGCGUCUCCCCCAGCCCAGGCAGGAGCUGCCUUAUUACUCCAGGAACCCCAAAUGCAUGCAUCUCCCCAGCCCAGGCAGGAGCUGCCUUUUACUCCAGGAACCCCAAAUGCAUGCGUCUCCCCAGCCCAGGCAGGAGCUGCCUUAUCACUCCAGGAAUCCCAAAUGCAUGCAUCUCCCCAGCCCAGGCAGGAGCUGCCUUAUCACUCCAGGAACCCCAAAUGCAUGCGUCUCCCCCAGCCCAGGCAGGAGCUGCCUUAUCACUCCAGGAACCCCAAAUGCAUGUGUCUUCCCCCAGCCCAGGCAGGAGCUGCCUUAUCACUCCAGGAACCCCAAAUGCAUGCGUCUCCCCCAGCCCAGGCAGGAGCUGCCUUAUCACUCCAGGAACCCCAAAUGCAUGCGUCUCCCCCAGCCCAGGCAGGAGCUGCCUUAUCACUCCAGGAACCCCAAAUGCAUGCGUCUCCCCCAGCCCAGGCAGGAGCUGCCUUAUCACUCCAGGAACCUCAAAUGCAUGUGUCUCCCCCAGCCCAGGCAGGAGCUGCCUUAUGACUCCAGGAACCCCAAAUGCAUGCGUCUCCCCCAGCCCAGGCAGGAGCUGUCUUAUUACUCCAGGAACCUCAAAUGCAUGUGUCUCCCCCAGCCCAGGCAGGAGCUGCCUUAUUACUCCAGGAACCCCAAAUGCAUGCGUCUCCCCAGCCCAGGCAGGAGCUGUCUUAUUACUCCAGGAACCCCGGGAAGGGAGCCCUGUCCAUCAGACAUGUUGUCCACCUGAUGAACAGACACUGAACAACCCCCUCUGUAUGAUCCCCUCAUACUCAACAUCCAUCUCUGAUUCUUUACAUUGGAAAAAAGGUAAUAAAGAUGGUAUCUGUCUUAAACUCAUUGGUAACACAGUACUUAGUGAUGAAAUUCUGGAAACAUUCUCAUUAAAUCAGGGAAUAAAAUACCCACUCCCACCAGUAUCCUUUACCGUCGUCUAG